UUCUAGGAGGGAGGAGCCUGGAAGGGACCAAAAAAAAAUGGGAAGUGAGGAUAAAAGAGCAUCCUGGUUUUCUUACUCUGUCACUUUAAAUUUGUUGUAAAAAAUGACAGGGGCAUAUUGAGAUCCUUUCUCCCAACUGUGCUGGAUGAAAGGGGCUGGCGGCUACAACAUUUGGAGGCCCUAGCGACAUCUCAGGGAGUGGCCCUGGGAUCUAAGACCGGACCGGCCUCCGAAGCAGUUGCUGUCCCUGUUGCGGAUUCAAAGGGGUGGCCAACCUGAGACGUUCAAUGGCCCUCGAAUGCCAUGACGGGGUCAGUACAAUCGUCAAGAAAGCAACCUUUAGGACACACUCUUUGUUCCUGGUCCCGACGGGAAUCUCCAAGGCCUCAACGUCUGGAUAAAAGACUCCAGACCCCGAGACCCCCGUUUAUGACUACAUGGAUUUCACUGAUGCUGUGUGUUCCUUGCGGUCAGACCUCAAAGACUCCCCUCUGCCUGAGGCCAGUGAAGUUCUAUUCACAGAUGGGAGCAGCUUCAUGCAGGAAAGGAAGAAGGUAUGCUGGGGCAGUGGUCGUCACAAGCUCUUCCCCAUAGGACUUCUGCUCAAAAGGCCGAACUCAUUGCCCUCACUGAGGCACUAAGAGGAGGAAAGAAUAAGGCAGUCACAAUAUAC